rnacentral:rRNA from 1 species
AAACCAACCGGGAUUGCCUUAGUAACGGCGAGUGAAGCGGCAAAAGCUCAAAUUUGAAAUCUGGUACCUUCGGUGCCCGAGUUGUAAUUUGGAGAGGGCAACUUUGGGGCCGUUCCUUGUCUAUGUUCCUUGGAACAGGACGUCAUAGAGGGUGAGAAUCCCGUGUGGCGAGGAGUGCGGUUCUUUGUAAAGUGCCUUCGAAGAGUCGAGUUGUUUGGGAAUGCAGCUCUAAGUGGGUGGUAAAUUCCAUCUAAAGCUAAAUAUUGGCGAGAGACCGAUAGCGAACAAGUACAGUGAUGGAAAGAUGAAAAGAACUUUGAAAAGAGAGUGAAAAAGUACGUGCAAUUGUUGAAAGGGAAGGGCAUUUGAUCAGACAUGGUGUUUUGUGCCCUCUGCUCCUUGUGGGUAGGGGAAUCUCGCAUUUCACUGGGCCAGCAUCAGUUUUGGUGGCAGGAUAAAUCCAUAGGAAUGUAGCUUGCCUCGGUAAGUAUUAUAGCCUGUGGGAAUACUGCCAGCUGAGACUGAGGACUGCGACGUAAGUCAAGGAUGCUGGCAUAAUGGUUAUAUGCCGCC